UCUCCGUUGGGGAACCAGCGGAGGGAUCAUUACCGAGUUUACAACUCCCAAACCCAAUGUGAACCAUACCAAACUGUUGCCUCGGCGGGGUCACGCCCCGGGUGCGUCGCAGCCCCGGAACCAGGCGCCCGCCGGAGGGACCAACCAAACUCUUUCUGUAGUCCCCUCGCGGACGUUAUUUUUACAGCUCUGAGCAAAAAUUCAAAAUGAAUCAAAACUUUCAACGACGGAUCUCUUGGUUCUG
rnacentral:misc_RNA from 1 species